GGGCGAAACGAAACCCACCGUGAGAAGGGGCAUGGAGAUGAACCCCUCCGCGUUUGUCCGGUUUGUGUCCCGCGGGUGGGUGUGAAGCGCUGAAGUCAGAGAAGAGAAGAGAUGAGAUUUUUUUUUUUUUUUUUUUUUAAAGUUUUAUUUUAUUUAGGCUGGAAUGUUUGUAAAAGUGGAGACCGUAAACAGUCGACAUGUGUGUUUCCAUCACGCACCAGAGGGGGGGAAAAAAAAAAAAAAAUCAGCCACGAACCUGUCAGGUCUUCCGACUAAUGCUGCUUGCACCGGGUAGUUAAAAAUCUAGUUUGCGACUGUUCGAAGAAGCCCGAAGCAUGAGGGGAAAAAAAAAAAAAAAAAAUAAUCUUUCCAGUAUGGCAUGGUAACCAAAAGGACAGCUAGGGCAAACUCAAUGGCUUUAGUGUGAUAUCAGGGAAUCCUCAAAGGCUUCAAACUCUGCUCAGAGCUCUGCUCCAGCUCACUCAAAAUAUCCCCUUUUGUUCUCCAGCUGCCUAUAAAACUCCAGAAGAGGAGCGCUCUCAUUUUUACACUGGAGUUCUCGGUCCGGAGAGAACAAUAUGCUCCUACCUCUUUUGAUAUGAUCCGGAGACUCUCACAACACACAGGCAAUCACUCGAAGCACGAAAUCUUUUUUUUUUUUUUUUUUUUUUUUCCCCAAGAACUGCUCAGCCCAUUGUUUGAAGUGGGAUUCAGUAUACAGCCCAAAGAGAAAAGGGAAAAAAGAAAAAAUCUUGAGAGCCCGGUUUGGUAUUGCACGGAGAGAGAGCUGACAAAAUAUUAUAGCAUGUUUCCCAGAAGUACAUGGUGAGAGCCGGAGGUGUGUUCCCGAAAAAGGGGUUGCUUUUUAUUUCCACCCACCCUCCCCAAGAUUGUGAUUGUCUUUGUAUGUCUUUCUUUUUAUCCCACAAAGAGAAUGUAAUAUACAUAUAUGUGUUUGCUCUCCAUACAAGAAAUGCCAUACAAUGGAAUAUGCGGCCGGUUAGUCCUCAUAAUGCUUAGUUUUGCUGUAAUUAAUUGAAAACAGUUAUUAGGUCGUCACUGGCAAUAGCGUAAAUAAUUGCAGCAGAUUUUUACUUAAAAUUGACCGGUCAUAGAGUGAUAGAUCGAUUCGAGGUAUAAAAAUGAUGUAUCAAAACAUCAAUGUCGAUUAUUUGAAAUAUUGUAGUCGAAUCUUUUUAUUGCUUCAUCGGUUAAGUGUCUGAAAGUGCUGUGUUCCAACAUAUAUUUAUGUUGUCAAUACUGUCAAAACUGUCAGUUUUAUUACAGUGGAUUUGUAAUACAUUUCGGAUUUGCUAAUUUACAUAAAAUGUCCACCUCAGAUACCCCUCCUUUUCUCCAUCUCUGGAAAUCUGUGUCAGUUUAAUGAAAGGAUUCAAGACUCAUACCUGAAGAGAGAGAAAAGAAAAAAAAAAAAAGAAGAAAAAAGAAAAAAGAAAAGAAAAAAAAAUAAGAAAGGGGGUGUGGGGGGGGAAUAAAAAAGGCGGUAUUGCUCCAUUAUGUCCGUUUGGACAAACAUCCGUUUGGAAAGAUUAAAGAUCCUGACUCGCCAAAAGAGGGAAUUCCUACCCUCUUCCUCCCCCUCCCCAGGCCCCGCUUAUUUCCCCAGUAGAAUUUAAACACUUUUCUUCUCUCACGCCUAGAUUAAACCCUCCAGGAGAAUUGGGAAAUUGUACAGGGAUACAGUAACAAGCCAAAGCACACCUGUGAAUGCCGCAACCUUCCCAAAGAGAGCAACAACCCCCCGAACCACGCACACACGCGCAGGGGUUUGAAUCCUGCUAGAAAGAAGGAGACAAAAGGAGCAAUAAAUAGCAUGAUCUGAGGCAACUCUAAUUUUCUCCAAGAGCCCAGCUGAAGGAUGGAAAAACUUAGGAUUAAAUAAAGAAAUCCAUUUGCACAAUAAACUCUCUUCGAUAGAACAAACAGUGAAAUUAGGCAAGUAACUUUAUUCCCCACCCCAUUCCGAGGACGAGGAUGUUUCAAAGGUGUUGGUGAGAUGGACCUGAGGGGUUGUGUGGGUUGGUUCUUUUCCCCUUCCCUCUUCCCGCAAACCCCCCCAAUCUCCUCUUCUUCCCCAUCUCCCCCUCCCCCCCACCCCGGGAUAUCUAUGUUUAAAUAGAUGCUGAAGAGAUUUCUGAGUUCGCGGUAAAGAAGGAAGGUUAGUUAAAGGAAUGGCAGCGCGCCUGGCAGGUAUUUUAAUGACUGUCCCUUCCUUUGAACACUUUCAAUUUCUCUGCUUCUUGUACAGAAUAUGUUUCCCCAACCAAGUAUGAUUUCUGUUAUAACUCUUGUGUGUGUUUGUGAUCCCUUCUGAGGUAAAUUGAGAAGUACGCUGUGCAAAAGGAGGAAAUCGCCCCUGGGGUGCUUUGUUUACUUUGGUUUGUAAAAUCCUGCUAGGAGAUGGUUUCCUCAGUGUGUGGCAAGUGUUUCUUCAAGAAAUUCAUCAGCCCUUCUACAAUUACUUCGAGCUCCGAGGGAAGAAAGCUGCCAUCACUUUCUCACAUCCCAAGGUGUUGCAUGGGGGAGAGAAGAAAAGGCUGGAGCAUUUAAUUAUAAUGGGAAGGGGUGGGGGGUGGGGAGAACGGAGGCUGCAGAAACCCGUCCCAAGCCUGUACCUGGAAAAGAAAAACCUGCAAGGGUAUAUUUGGGAAGCGUAUGCCAUUUAGACAUUGGAAAAGUACCCCGUCUUGUGCAGUAAUUAGUCUGAACAAUAAACAUAAUUGGAACAAAA